rnacentral:rRNA from 1 species
GUCGAACGCUGGCGGCGUGCCUAAUACAUGCAAGUCGAGCGGACCAAACAGGAGCUUGCUCUUGUUUGGUUAGCGGCGGACGGGUGAGUAACACGUGGGUAACCUGCCCGUAAGACCGGGAUAACUCCGGGAAACCGGAGCUAAUACCGGAUAACACCGAAGACCGCAUGGUCUUUGGUUGAAAGGCGGCUUCGGCUGCCACUUACGGAUGGGCCCGCGGCGCAUUAGCUAGUUGGUGAGGUAACGGCUCACCAAGGCGACGAUGCGUAGCCGGCCUGAGAGGGUGACCGGCCACACUGGGACUGAGACACGGCCCAGACUCCUACGGAAGGCAGCAGUAGGGAAUCUUCCGCAAUGGACGAAAGUCUGACGGAGCGACGCCGCGUGAGCGAAGAAGGUCUUCGGAUCGUAAAGCUCUGUUGUUAGGGAAGAAGAAGCGCCGUUCGAACAGGGCGGCGCGGUGACGGUACCUAACGAGAAAGCCCCGGCUAACUACGUG